UAUAAAACUGUAAGACUCUGAGGUUCUUCGGGUCAGAAGGGAUUUUAAAGGUCAUCUAUCUAAACAUUGCUCAAUGCUUGAAUCUUUUCUGUAGCAACCUCACUGAAUGGCCUUCCAGCCUCUGACUUGUACCUCCAGUAACAGGGGUACCUGAAUCUCGGCUCACUGCAACCUCUGCAUCGCAGGUUCAAGCAAUUCUCCUGCCUCAGACACCCGAGCAGCUGGGACUAUGGGCGCCUGGCACCACACCCGACUAAUUUUUGUAUAUUUAGUAGAGAUGAGGUUUCACCAUGUUGUCCAGGCUGGUGUGAAAUUCCCAACCUCAAGCCAUCUGCCUUCCUUGGGCAACAGAUAUACUGGUGAAUAAUAUCAUUCAACAAUCCUAAUCUUAGCAGAAAUGUCUAGGAAUGAAGAACAGAAAAAGAUAUUGUAUCAUUUGAGAUGGUUUAGCCUGCAAAUAACAGAUAGUCCCAACUCAGCAGGUUUAAACAAUAAAGAGGAUUUCUUAUUUUACUUAAAAAUAAUUCCCCAGAUGGGGCAGCUCUAGAGUUUGCAGAUUCAUCCACCACAUAGUCUUAGUGUCAUGCAGCAGGCACACAGGCUCAAUUCUAGGACAGCUUUGAUGGAACACUGAAGGUGUGCUACCCGGGAGGCUGCGCCCGGCUAGAGAAUGAUGAUGAGAACAGGUAUUUUAUCCAGUAGGGCAAUCUUUGUCUUUUAACUGGACCACCUAGUCUAUUUACAAGUAUUUAUAAUAUACUCAAAUUUAUAUCUGGUAUUUUAUUUGAUAUUUUCUACCAGUCUUUCUAGUCUAUGUAAAUUUAAACAGCAACAGAAUUUUUUUGGAGACAGAGUCUCACUCUGUUGUCCAGAGCAAAGUGCAGUGGUGAGAUCUCAGCUCACUGUAACCUCUGCCUCUUGAGUCCAGGUGAUUCUUCUGCCUCAGCUUCCUGAGUAGCUGGAACUACAGGCAUGUGCCACCAUGCCUGGCUCAUUUUUAUGUAUUUAUUUAUUUUUAUGUAUUUAUUUUUGAGAUGGAGUCUUGCUCUGUUGCCCAGGCUGGAGUGCAGUGGAGCCAUCUCAGCUCACUGCAGCCUCUCCAUCCCAGGUUCAAGCAAUUCUCCUGCCUCAGCUUCCCGAGUAGCUGGAACUACAGGUGCCUGGCACCACACCCGACUAAUUUUUAUAUUUUUAGUAGAGACGAUAUUUCACCAUUUUGGCCAGGCUGGUCUCAAACUCCCGACCUCAAGUGAUUUGCCUGACUUGACCUCCCAAAGUGCCUGGGAUUACAGGUAAUUUUUGUAUUCUUAGUAGAGAUGGGGAUUCUCUGUGUUGACCAGGCUGGUCUCGAGCUCCUGACCUCUAGUGAUCCACCCACCUCAGCCUCCCAAAGUGUUGGGAUUACAGGCAUGAUCCAUUAUACCUGGCCUUUAAACAAAUUUUAUUGAUACAUAAUGUGCGUUAUGUAUGGAAUACACGUGAUAUUUUGAUACAUGCAUAUUUGACUUGAGAUUUGAUUGAUGUCUGUCUACAGACAUCUCCCAUGAGUUUAGACUCCCCAGCCGGGUGCAGUAGCUCAUGUCUCUAAUCCCAGCACUUUGAGAGGCCAAGGCAGAUGGAUCACGAGGUCAGGAGUUCGAGACCAGCCUGACAAACAUGGUGGAACCCCGUCUGUACUAAAAAUACAAAAAUUAGCCGGGCAUGGUAUCGUGCUACUGUAGCAUGGUAUCCCAGCUAUUUGGGAGGCUGAGGCAGGAGAAUCACUUGAACCCAGGAGGCGGAAAUUGUGGGGAGCUGAGAGUGUGGCAUUGCACUCCAGCCUGGGUGACAGAGCAAGUCUCAAAAAAAAAAAAAAAAAAAAAAAAAUCCCCGGCUAUUAUCUGUUCAUACAGGGCCUCUGCUCAAAUAUCUCCUCUCGUUCUGGAACUCCAAUUAGACAUGUUAGAUCUUAUCACUCUACUAUGUGAACUUGAACUUUUUUUUGUUUUGUUUUGAGACGGAGUCCACACCAUUGCCCAGGCUGGAGUGCAGUGGUGCAAUCUCCGCUCACUGCAACCUCCACUUCCCAGAUUCUAGUGAUUCUCCUGCCUCAGCCUCCCAAGUAGCUGGGAUUACAGGCACCUGCUACCACGCCCUGCUAAUUUUUUGUAUUUUUAGUAGAGAUGGGGUUUCUCUCUGUUGGCCAAGCUGGUCUUGAACUCCUGUCCUUGUGAUCCACCUGCCUCGGCCUCCCAAAGUGCUGGGAUUACAGUUGUGAGCCACCAUGCCCAGCCAAAUUUUAACUUUUUAAAUAUUUUCCAACUUUUUGUCUCUCUGAGUUACACUCUACAUAAUAUCUCCUGAUCUACAUCCACAUCUUUGAUUCUCUCUGCAGGUGUUUCUGACCUUCAGCUAAAUACUUCCACUGAGAGUAUUUUGUAUUUAUUUUUUUUUUUUUUUGUAGAGACAAGGUCUCAUUAUGACCUCGAACUCCUAGGCUCAAGUGAUCUGCCUCAGCCUCCCAAAGUGCUGCGAUUACAGGCAUGAGCCGCUGGACACAGCUAGUUUUUAAAAUGCUUACAUUUUUAUUGACGUAUAACGUACAUACCAAAAGGUGUGCAAUCAUCAAACCUGCAGCUCAGUUUUCAUUUUUGAGUUUUUGAAAUUUUGUUGUUUUUGUUAUUUUGAGACAGAAUCUUGCUCUGUUGCCCAGGCUGGAGUGCAGUGGUGCGAUCUUGGCUCACCGCAACCUCCGCCUUCCAGGUUCAAGCAAUUCUCCUGCCUCAGCCUCCCAAGUAACCGGGAUUACAGGCGUGUGCCACCAUGCCCAGCUAAUUUCUGUAUUUUUAGUAGAGAUGGGGUUUCACCAUGUUGGCCAGGCUGGUCCAGAACUGCUGACCUCAGGUGAUCUGCCCACCUUGGCCUCCCAAAGUGGUGGGAUUACAGGCACGAGCCACUGUGCCAGGCCAAGUUGUUGAAAUUUUUAUAUAUUCUAGAUAUAAUUAUUUUGUCAGAUAUGUGUUUUAUCUACAUUUUCUCCCAUUAUGUGGCUUGUUUCUUCAUAUUCUUAGGGGUAGCUUUUUUUUUUUUUUUGUAAGACAGCAUCUCACUCUGUCACCCAGGCUGGAGUGCAGUGGCACAAUCUUGGCUCAAUCUUGGCCCGCGACCUCCACCGACCAGCCCGGAUUUAAGUGAUUCUCCUGUCUUAGCCUUCUACAUAGCUGAGAUUACAGACGUAGGCUACCAUGCCUGGCUAAUUUUUUUAUUUUUAGUAAAGACGGAGUUUCAUCAUGUUGGCCAGGCUGGUCUCAAACUCCUGACCUCAAGUGAUCCACCUGCCUUGGCCUCUGGGAUUACAGGCAUGAACCACCGCACCCAGCUUAGUGGUAGCUUUUCAUUAGAAGUUUUUCAUUUUUAUAAAGGCUAAUUUCUACAUUUUUUUUUUUGAGACAGAGUCUCACUCUGCUGCCAGGCUGGGAUGCAGUGGCACAAUCUCGGCUCACUGCAACCUCCGUUCAAGGGUUCAAGGGAUUCCCCUGCCUCAGCUUCCUGAGUAGCUGGGACGACAGCCCCGGCUUAGCAGAAUUCCUGUUGACAGAAGUAAACGUCUUCACUCAAGGAUCUUCUCGGUACAGACUGGGCUGCCACUCAAACCAAACACUGGGAAUCCCAGGCUGGAUCCUCAACUUUCAG